UGACCCUUGGCUGCAGCUCAGGCCAGAUGUCUGCAUGGCCCCAGAUCCAGUUCAGGCCACGCUGAUUGGCAUGGUAACAGUGGUGGCACACCCUUAGAUACCAACAUGACUGCAGGUGGCAUCUCAGACCCUGGACAUGUGUUUGGCCUUUUGGUAACAACACAGACUACAGACAUCAACACAGACCCCAGCUGUGUUCUAGGACUAUGGACUCAAAAUGAUAUCUGCAUUUUCCAAGAGUAUAAGACUUGAUCAGUUGCAGCUGUCCUAUGUCAGGGAACCCUGAGAAGAACACCAUAAACUGAGUGCAAGUGUACAGAGACUUGAGGUCAAGAUCAGCUACAAUUGUUCUUAUAACUGAGCUUUUUUUGUACAAAGAUUCAGAAACAAAAAGAAUGCUUAUAUUUCCCACCACUGAAGUUUUAUGACACUCAGGUGUUAAGUAAAUUCAUCUAAUUCUUGUUUA